CCUUUCUGCCCUCUGCCAUGUGAGGUCACAGUGUUCCUCCCUCCUGAGGAUGCAGUGUUCAUGAAAGCAAACACUGGGCCCUCACCAGGCAACAAACCUGCUGGUGCCUUCAUCUUGGACUUCCCAGCCUUCGGAACUGUUAAGAAGCUCCACUGCGCUUUGUCCAUUGCAAGUUGAGAAGUGAGGCCCCAGCUGUCACAUACAGUGAGUGAAGAAGCUGAGCUUCCCUCAACGCCUGGGCCUGUAUGAAUUUUUUUUUUUUUUUUUUUUUUGGAGACGGAGUCUCACUUUGUUGCCCAGGCUGGAGUGCAAUGGCACUAUCUCAGGCCACUGCAACCUCUGCCUCCCAGGUUCAAGCGAUUCUUCUGCCUCAGCCUCCUGAGUAGCUGGGAUUACAGAAGUGCACCAUUACAGCUUGCUAAUUUUUGUAUUUUUAGUAGAGAAGGGUUUUCACCAUGUUGGCCAGGUUGGUCUCGAACUCUUGGCCUCAGGUGAUCCGCCCGCACAGCCUCCCAAAGUGUUGGGAUUACAGGCGUGAGCCACUGCGCCCGGCCUUAGGCUCCAUCACAAGAGGGAGCCCCAUUGCUAGUCCCCAUCCUCAAAGCCUCUGCGUGAUGUUGUCUACUGUUACUCUUCACUACCCUGUGGGAGCCAAAGCCCUGGACAUAAGAACAGAAGGCAAGCAGUGGUGGCUGAGAGGAAGAACUGACACCUUUGUGCUAUCAGAGCACUUUGCAGAGGAGCUGUUAGUGGCCCUGUAGGAGUCUGCUGGCCAUACAUCUGGGUGUCAAAUCAAGAGAGCAUGAGAAGUUGGACAGGAAAGGUCCAAGGCAAAAUGGUUACUAAAGGCCAUCCCUGAUCCUGACCCUAAAAGAAGAAAAGGCCCUUUGCUCUUGGCAUGCUUUUGCAGGAGUGUCUCAGUCUGUUUGGGCUGCUAUAACAUUGACUGGGUGAUCUGCCUGCCUGGCCUCCCAAAGUGCUGGGGUUACAGGUGUGAGCCGCUGCACCAGGCCUUGAGGUCAGGAGUUCGAGACCAGCCUGGCCAACAUGGUGAAACCUGUCUUUACUAAAAAUACAGAAAUUAGCCAGGCAUGGAGGCGCAUGCCUGUAAUCCCAGCUACUGGGGAGGCUGAGGCAGGAGAAUCGCUUGAACCCAGAAGGUGGAGGUUGCGGUGAGCCCAGAUAGUGCCAUUGCACUCUAGCCUGGCCAACAAGAGUGAAACUCUGUCUCAAAAAAUAAAUAAACAAACAAACAAAC
rnacentral:lncRNA from 1 species